rnacentral:rRNA from 1 species
UAGGGAAUCUUCCACAAUGGGCGAAAGCCUGAUGGAGCUAACGCCGCGUGUGUGAUGAAGGGUUUCGGCUCGUAAAACACUGUUGUAAGAGAAGAAUGACAUUGAGAGUAACUGUUCAAUGUGUGACGGUAUCUUACCAGAAAGGAACGGCUAAAUACGUGCCAG